rnacentral:rRNA from 1 species
CCUACGGGUGGCAGCAGUGAGGAAUAUUGGUCAAUGGCCGGAAGGCUGAACCAGCCAAGUCGCGUGAGGGAAUAAGGCCCUAUGGGUCGUAAACCUCUUUUGUCAGGGAGCAAAGGCUUCCACGAGUGGACGAAAGGAGAUUACCUGAAGAAAAGGAAUCGUCUAACUCCGUGCCAGCAGCGGCGGUAUUACGGAGGAUGCGAUGGUUAUCCGAAUUUAGUGGGUUUAAAGGUUGCGUAGGCGGAGUGUCAGGUCAGCGGUAUAAUUUCGGGGCUCAACCCCGUCGUGCCGUUGAAACUGACACCCUUGAGUGAGUGAGAAGUAAGCGGAAUGCGUGGCGUAGCGGUGAAAUGCAUAGAUAUCACGCAGAACGCCGAUUGCGAAGGCAGCUUACCGGCGCUCAACUGACGCGGAGGCACGAAAGUGCGGGUAUCGAACAGGAUUAGAUACCCUGGUAGUC